AGAAUCAACGCUGGCGGCGUGCCUAACACAUGCAAGUCGAACGAGAAAGUGGAGCAAUCCAUGAGUAAAGUGGCGACCGGGUGAGUAACACGUGACUAACCUACCUUCGAGUGGGGGAUAACCAAGAGAAAUCUUGGCUAAUACCGCAUAACACUUACGAGUCAAAGCAGCAAUGCGCUUGGAGAGGAGUUCGCGGCCGAUUAGUUAGUUGGCGGGGUAAUGGCCCACCAAGACGAUGAUCGGUA
rnacentral:rRNA from 1 species